rnacentral:rRNA from 1 species
CAGCAGCCGCGGUAAUACGGAGGGGGCUAGCGUUGUUCGGAAUUACUGGGCGUAAAGCGCACGUAGGCGGCUUGGUAAGUUAGAGGUGAAAGCCUGGAGCUCAACUCCAGAAUUGCCUUUAAGACUGCCGAGCUAGCAGGUGAGAGAGGUAAGUGGAAUUCCGAAUGUAGAGGUGAAAUUCGUAGAUAUUCGGAAGAACACCAGUGGCGAAGGCGGCUUACUGGCUCAUACUGGACGCUGAGGUGCGAAAGCGUGGGGAGCAAACAGGAUUAGAGACCCGAGUAGUCCCUGUCUCUUAUAA